UAAGUAGUAACCAUUAAGAGGUUG
rnacentral:miRNA from 1 species